GCACUCGUAGCUCAAUUGGAUAGAGCAUCUGACUACGGAUCAGAAGGUUGUGAGUUCGAAUCCCGCCGAGUGCGCCA
rnacentral:tRNA from 2 species